rnacentral:rRNA from 1 species
AUUGAACGCUAGCGGGAUGCUUUACACAUGCAAGUCGAACGGAGUGGAGGCCGGGUGAGUAAUAUAUCGGAACGUGCCCAGUAGCGGGGGAUAACUACUCGAAAGAGUGGCUAAUACCGCAUCCUAUUUGAUCGGCCGAUAUCGGAUUGGCUAGUUGUGGUGGUAAAGGCUCACCAAGGCAACGAUCCGUAGCUGGUUUGAUAGGACGACCAGCAAGCCUGGGACGGAGAAACGGCCCAGACUCCUCCGGGAGGCAGCAGUGGGGAAGGUUGGACAAUGGGGGAAACCCUGAUCCAGCAAUCCCGCGUGUAUGAUGAAGGCCUUCGGGUUGUAAAGUACUUUUGGCAGAGAAGCGGUAUCUGCAGAAUAAGCACCGGCUAACUACGUGCCAGCAGCCGCGGUAAUUC